rnacentral:rRNA from 1 species
GACGAACGCUGGCGGCGUGCUUAACACAUGCAAGUCGAACGAAGUGGCGAACGGGUGAGUAAUACGUGAGUAACCUGCCCUCCUUUUUGGGCUAAGCCUUGGAAACGGGGUCUAAUACCGAAUAAAGGGGGAUGGGCUCGCGGCCUAUCAGCUUGUUGGGGGGGUGAUGGCCUACCAAGGCGGUGACGGGUAGCCGGCCUGAGAGGGUGACGUGCAACAUGGGGACUAGGAAACGGCCCAGGCUACUACGGGAGGCAGCAGUGGGGGAUAUUACACGAUGGGCGGAAGCCUGAUGCAGCGACGCCGCGUGGGGGAUGAAGGCUUUCAGGUUGUAAACCUCUUUCGCUAUCAAACGGGUAGGUGGAGAAGAAGCGCCGGCUAACUACGUGCCAGCAGCCGCGGUAAUUC